GGCGUGUAGUGAACGGAUUAAUGACUACGCGCCAGAAACAUUCCCACGACCCGGCCCCUCUACUCAGUGACGUCGUGCGACGGAGCGCGGAGGGCGGGGCAAUAACGCCGCGUGCGCCACGUCGCAUCAUGCGGUAGCAUCGCUCUCUUUGCUUCGAGCUCGCGGCAGCGACGGACGUACUCUCUAGUGCUAAUAGAACGCGUACUUGUACUUGUGUUGAUACACAUUUAGUUGAUGUAAAUGAAUAAAUCUUGUAAGGUUA